UACGGAGGGUGCGAGCGUUGUCCGGAAUCACUGGGCGUAAAGGGCGCGUAGGCGGCUCAUGAAGGCUGUGGUGAAAGUCCGGGGCUCAACCUCGGAUCGGCCGUGGCGACUCGUGGGCUGGAGCACUGUAGAGGCGGGUGGAAUUCCCGGUGUAGCGGUGGAAUGCGUAGAGAUCCGGAAGAACACCAGUGGCGAAGGCGGCCCGCUGGGCAGUGGCUGACGCUGAAGCGCGACAGCGUGGGGAGCAAACAGG
rnacentral:rRNA from 1 species